rfam:Podiceps cristatus contig7374, whole genome shotgun sequence.
UACAAGGUUUUCUUAAAAACCAUUGUACAUUAUGGGGGAAAAAAAA